GGAAUUGUGGCUCAGUGGUAGAGUGCUCAUCUAGCAUGGGUGAAGCACUGAGUUCAAUCCUCAGCACCA
rnacentral:tRNA from 1 species